GUGUCUGGUUACUGGCAGGCAUCCAGGGGCUGCCCCUAGCCACUCGGCCCAUAUCGGGCAGCAGGCGGAUGGAAUGCGGGCAAAGGAUGCCAAUGCUCUUUCUCCAAUUACCCAGCGGCUCUGAUCCCAUGGCCCUGAGGAGGGCAGCCAACAGAUGAUGACUGUGCUGUACUGUACUAAUCAUGGCAAAGCAAAGCAGUGUGUGUGGGUGUGUAGUGCUGAUUAAGAUGCCGCUUACUGGUCUUUGUUGAUUGAUUAAUAAUUGUGCUACAAAAGUCAUAACAUGAUUGACAACAGUAUGUGCAUGUUUAAGGUCAAAAGGUCACCAUAGAGACAAGGAUAUGUGAUGAGACUGUUUGUCACAGGCAACACAAGCAACUAAACCAGAGGACAUCGAUCCACAGAGAUCCAGAUGACAUUAAAAUAAAAACACAAAACAGGA